ACCAUGGUGCAUGGCCCAGUUGGUAGAGCAUGAGACUCUUCAUCUCAGGGUCAUGGGUCUGAGCCCCACACUGGGCA